rnacentral:rRNA from 1 species
GACAGAGGGUGCAAACGUUGUUCGGAAUUACUGGGCGUAAAGCGCGUGUAGGCGGCCCGGUAAGUCGGAUGUGAAAGCCCUGGGCUUAACCUAGGAAGUGCAUUCGAAACUCCCGGGCUUGAGUUCUGGAGAGGAAGGCGGAAUUCUCGGUGUAGAGGUGAAAUUCGUAGAUAUCGAGAGGAACACCGGUGGCGAAGGCGGCCUUCUGGACAGUGACUGACGCUGAGACGCGAAAGCGUGGGGAGCAAACGGG